rnacentral:rRNA from 1 species
UACGGAGGGAGCUAGCGUUGUCCGGAAUUACUGGGCGUAAAGAGCUCGUUAGGCGGUUUGUCGCGUCGUCCGUGAAAACUUGGGGGCUCAACCCCCAAGCUUGCGGGGCGUACGGGGCAGACUUGAGUACUGCAGGGGGAGACUGGAAUUCCUGGUGUAGCGGUGAAAAUGCGCAGAUAUCAGGAGGAACACCGAGUGAAGGCGGGUCUCUGGGCCAUACUGCUGAGAGCGAAAAGCUGGGGGAGCGAA